AUGAACGCUGGCGGCAGGCCUAACACAUGCAAGUCGAACGGAGUUAUAUUGUAGCUUGCUAUGGUAUAACUUAGUGGCAGACGGGUGAGUAAUGUAUAGGAAUCUACCUAGUAGUACGGAAUAAUUGUUGGAAACGGCAACUAAUACCGUAUACGCCCUACGGGGGAAAAAUUUAUUGCUAUUAGAUGAGCCUAUAUUAGAUUAGCUAGUUGGUGGAGUAAUAGCCUACCAAGGCAAUGAUCUAUAGCUGAUCUGAGAGGAUGAUCAGCCACACUGGAACUGAGAUACGGUCCAGACUCCUACGGGAGGCAGCAGUGGGGAAUAUUGGACAAUGGGCGAAAGCCUGAUCCAGCCAUGCCGCAUGAGUGAAGAAGGCCUUUGGGUUGUAAAGCUCUUUUAGUGAGGAAGAUAAUGACGGUACUCACAGAAGAAGUCCUGGCUAACUCCGUGCCAGCAGCCGCGGUAAUACGGAGAGGGCUAGCGUUAUUCGGAAUUAUUGGGCGUAAAGGGCGCGUAGGCGGAUUAGUAAGUUAAAAGUGAAAUCCCAAGGCUCAACCUUGGAAUUGCUUUUAAAACUGCUAAUCUAGAGAUUGAGAGAGGAUAGAGGAAUC
rnacentral:rRNA from 1 species